GAAGAUAGAGGCGCGGUAAACAAGAGUAACACGAGCUUGGAGAUACCACUCCCGUGUGAAAGGGUGCACCGCCGAGGUGAUUGCAGUUUGGUAUGGCUGCACUUGCCGGUAUGCCGGGAAAUACCCGUCGUACUGUCACCGAAGGUGGAGAGCUAUC
rnacentral:ncRNA from 1 species